UACGUAGGGUGCAAGCGUUGUCCGGAAUUAUUGGGCGUAAAGAGCUCGUAGGCGGUUUGUCGCGUCUGCUGUGAAAACUCGGGGCUCAACCCCGGGCGUGCAGUGGAUACGGGCGGGCUAGAGGCAGGCAGGGGAGAACGGAAUUCCCGGUGUAGCGGUGAAAUGCGCAGAUAUCGGGAGGAACACCGGUGGCGAAGGCGGUUCUCUGGGCCUGUUCUGACGCUGAGGAGCGAAAGCAUGGGGAGCGA
rnacentral:rRNA from 1 species